GAAGGAGCGGUAACACGCUGUGGAGGUCCGAACCAGUUUCCGUUGAAAAGGAUUUGGAUGACUUGAGGGUAGGGGUGAAAGGCCAAUCAAACUAGGAAAUAGCUCGUACUCCCCGAAAUGUAUUGAGGUACAGCGUCGUGGUUAGGUUUGCUGGAGGUAGAGCUACCAAUAGGACUAGGGGGUGUCAGAGCCUACCGAAUCCUGAUGAACUCCGAAUGCCAGCAAAUUCAUACACGGCAGUGAGGCCUGGGGUGCUAAGGUCCCCGGCCGAGAGGGAAAGAACCCAGACCCGCCGCUAAGGUCCCUAAGUUCUAGCUAAGUUGAACAAAGGAGGUCCAGUUGCUUUGACAGCCAGGAGGUUGGCUUGGAAGCAGCCAUUCCUUUAAAGAGUGCGUAACAGCUCACUGGUCGAGCGGGGCGGGCAUCGAUAAUAAACGGGCAUCAAGCAUAUUACCGAAGCUAUGCGAUAGUAUUUAUACUGAUCGGUAGGGGAGCAUUCUCACAGGGGUGAAGGUGUGGCGUGAGCUGCGCUGGACUGGUGAGAAAAGCAAAUGUAGGCAUAAGUAACGAUAAUGCGGAUGAGAAAUCCGCACACCGAAAGACUAAGGAUUCCUCCGCUAUGCUAAUCAACGGAGGGUUAGGCGGGGCCUAAGGUAUAGCCGACAGGUGAACACCGAUGGACAGCAGGUUAAUAUUCCUGCCCUUGCUGUAAGUGUGAAGAAGUGACGGAGUAACAUGGCUUGUACGUACUGACGGAAUAGUGCGUUGAGCGGCGCCUACGGGCAAAGCAAACAGGCGAAGAUACUUCCAAGAAAAGCUUUUGAAACGCCAGCUUAUAGCAACCCGUACCGUAAACCGACACAGGUAGUCGAGAAGAAUAUUCUAAGGUGCUCGAGUGAAUCACGGCUAAGGAACUCGGCAAAUUAACCCUGUAACUUCGGGAGAAGGGGAGCCUCCUCUGCAAAGAGAGGCCGCAGAGAAAUGGCCCAGGCGACUGUUUAGCAAAAACACAGGGCUCUGCCAAAUCGAAAGAUGACGUAUAGGGCCUGACACCUGCCCGGUGCUGGAAGGUUAAGAGGGGAUGUCACCGCAAGGGAAGCAUUGAAUCGAAGCCCCAGUAAACGGCGGCCGUAACUAUAACGGUCCUAAGGUAGCGAAAUUCCUUGUCGGGUAAGUUCCGACCUGCACGAAUGGUGUAACGAUCUGGGCACUGUCUCGGCCGUGAGCUCGGUGAAAUUGUAGUAGCGGUGAAGAUGCCGCUUACCCGCCACGGGACGGAAAGACCCCGUGCACCUUUACUAUAGGUUGCCAUUGGUGGUGGGUUCAGUAUGUGUAGCAUAGGCGGGAGGCGUCGAAGCAGGGCCGCUAGGUCUUGUGGAGCCAACGUUGAAAUACCGCCCUUACUGUGCCUGCUGCCUAACUCUUACUUUGUAAGAGAACAGUGGCUGCUGGGUAGUUUGACUGGGGUGGUCGCCUCCAAAAGCGUAUCGGAGGCUUUCAAAGGUCCACUCAAUCCGCUUGGUAACCGGAUGUAGAGCGCAAUAGUAGAAGUGGGCUUGACUGUGAGACUGACUAGUCGAGCAGGGUCGAAAGACGGAUAUAGUGAUCCGGUGGUUCCGUAUGGAAGGGCCAUCGCUCAAAGGAUAAAAGGUACGCCGGGGAUAACAGGCUGAUCUCCCCCAAGAGCUCACAUCGACGGGGAGGUUCGGCACCUCGAUGUCGGCUCGUCACAUCCUGGGGCUGGAGAAGGUCCCAAGGGUUCGGCUGUUCGCCGAUUAAAGUGGCACGCGAGCUGGGUUCAGAACGUCGUGAGACAGUUCGGUCCCUAUCUGUGGUGGGCGUAGGAAGAUUGACGGGGGCUGACCUUAGUACGAGAGGACCGGGUUGGACCCACCGCUGGUGAGCCGGUUGUUACGC
rnacentral:rRNA from 1 species